rnacentral:lncRNA from 1 species
GACCGGAUGUAGUCCUGGAUGAUGGUCUUCCACUUCCGCCGGCACAGCCAGCCCCGCAGGAAGCUCUGCACCUGAGCAGCAAGACCGGUGGGGAGAGGCUCCUGUCAGGGAGUCUGGACCACUCCUGUCCUUCCAGGCUGUGAGCUCCCCAAGGUACCACCACGUCCUAAGUUUGGAGUCUGGAAGAACUGCAUCUGGGAGCUGCUUUCCCUGCCUGUCAUGUGGCUCCCCAAUCCUGCAGGAGCCCAGGGUUUGAGAUGUUGUGCCUAGGGCCUGGGCCCACCCCCCAGCCCGCAGUCACCUCUGCCUUCAGCCGCUCGAUCUCGAUCUCCCCAUCCUCGAUCUGCUGCCGAAGCUGCUUGGCCACGGUCUUCUCUGUCUCCACGAUCUGCAGCAGGUGCAGGUAUUUCUGCAUUAAUGCCUCAUGCUCUGUGGCGAGGGUCCUGUAGCUGUGGACAGAUGGACAUGGCAGCUCCAAGGCUUUCUGGUUCUCAUGGCUGAAGUUCACCGUGAAGUAAUGCUGUAUCAAGAAG